rnacentral:tRNA from 1 species
ACCGCGAUAGCUCAGCUGAUAGAGCAUCUUGCCCGGUAUGCGGAGGGUCGCCGGUUCGAUUCCGGCUCGCGGCG